UUUUAGGGAGACCUACACCCCUCAAAUAUUGAAAGCAAACAGCUUUCUAAAUAUUGAGAUGGUCAAACCUAGGUCGGUCGAGGUUGGUAAAUAGCUUUCAAAGUAUUAGUGGUUCAGUAAACGUUUAAAAACUAAGAAAAAUUCAGCAACAUGGCUAUAGCCAGACUGCUGGAUAGUUAUCCAGCCAGAACCUUGAAAACUGCAUAGGAAUGCGAUUUAAGCAGGCAGACACAGACAUUGGAUGUGUAUGCAAUUGAAGCUGAAUUGAAUAGU
rnacentral:misc_RNA from 1 species